CGCUUACUGAUCUCUUCUGGUGUCGCCUGCCCUCCUUCCGGGAAGGCAGCGGUGAAAAGGGAAUACGGUGCGAAUCCGUAACGUUGGGCCAGCGCUGUGAGCGGGGACGAGGGCCGCAAGGUGCCACUGGGGAUACCUCCCGAAUUCGGGAAAUGCCCGGGAAGGCGCGGUCUGAGGAUGAGCCGCGAGUCAGAAGACCUGCCAGAAAGAUAACGACUUU
rnacentral:ncRNA from 2 species